GAUCAAUAAUUUUGUGACAGACUUAAAGAAUUUCAAUAAUUACUUUUUCGGGUAUAUUAUAAAUUGAAUUUCAUUUCGGCUGUUGAAAGUACUUCUGCAAUUAAAAGAUGGUUCCAAAUAAUUAAUUGAUCAUAUAUCUGGAUAAUGCAUUUAUUAUGAUAGGAGU